rnacentral:rRNA from 1 species
GAUGAACGCUGGCGGCGUGCCUAAUACAUGCAAGUCGAGCGAACGGACGAGAAGCUUGCUUCUCUGAUGUUAGCGGCGGACGGGUGAGUAACACGUGGAUAACCUACCUAUAAGACUGGGAUAACUUCGGGAAACCGGAGCUAAUACCGGAUAAUAUUUUGAACCGCAUGGUUCAAAAGUGAAAGACGGUCUUGCUGUCACUUAUAGAUGGAUCCGCGCUGCAUUAGCUAGUUGGUAAGGUAACGGCUUACCAAGGCAACGAUGCAUAGCCGACCUGAGAGGGUGAUCGGCCCCACUGGAACUGAGACACGGUCCAGACUCCUACGGGAGGCAGCAGUAGGGCAUCUUGCGCAAUGGGCGAAAGCCUGACGGAGCAACGCCGCGUGAGUGAUGAAGGUCUUCGGAUCGUAAAACUCUGUUAUUAGGGAAGAACAUAUGUGUAAGUAACUGUGCACAUCGUGACGGUACCUAAUCAGAAAGCCACGGCUAACUACGUG